UACGUAGGUGGCAAGCGUUGUCCGGAUUUACUGGGCGUAAAGGGUGCGUAGGUGGCCAACUAAGUCAGACGUGAAAUCCCCCGGCUUAACCUGGGAACUGCGUCUGAUACUGGGAGGCUUGAGUAUGGGAGAGGGAUGUAGAAUUCCAGGUGUAGCGGUGAAAUGCGUAGAUAUCUGGAGGAAUACCGGUGGCGAAGGCGGCAUCCUGGACCAUUACUGACGCUGAGGCGCGAAAGCUAGGGGAGCAAACGGG
rnacentral:rRNA from 1 species